rnacentral:rRNA from 1 species
CCUGGUUGAUCCUGCCAGUAGCAUAUGCCUGUCUCAAAGAUUAAGCCAUGCAAGUCUAACUAAACACGGCCGGUACAGUGAAACUGCGAAUGGCUCAUUAAAUCAGUUAUGGUUCCUUUGAUCGCUCUCAUGUUACUUGGAUAACUGUGGCCAUUCUAGAGCUAAUACAUGCCAACAAGCGCUGACCUCUGGGAAUGCGUGCAUUUAUCAGACCCAAAACCCAUACAGGGUGCCUCUCAGGGUGCCCCGGCCACUUUGGUGACUCUAGAUAACCUCGAGCCGAUCGCUGGCCCCAGUGGCGGUGACGUCUCAUUUGAAUGUCUGCCCUAUUAACUUUCGAUGGUACUUUCUGUGCCUACCAUGGUUAUCAUGGGUAACGGGGAAUCAGGGUUCAAUUCCAGAGAGGGAGCCUGAGAAAUGGCUACCACAUUCAAGGAAGGCAGCAGGCGUGCAAAUUACCUACUCCUGACUCAGGGGUAGUGAUGAAUAAUACCAAUACAGGACUAUUUUGAAACCCUGUAAUUGGAAUGAGUACACUUUAAAUCCUUUAACAAGGAUCAAUUGGAGGACAAGUCUGGUGCCAGCAGCCAUGGUAAUUCCAGCUCCAAUAGCGUAUCUUAAAGUUGCUGCAGUUAAAAAGCUCAUAGUUGGAUCUCGGGAUCGAGCUGAUGGUCCGCCGCAAGGUGAGCUACCGUCUGUCCCAGCCCCUGCAUCUCAGCGUCCCCUUGAUGCUCUUAGCUGAGUGUCCCAUGGGGUCUGAAGCGUUUACUUUGAAAAAAUUAGUGUGUUCAAAGCAGGUCUGGUCAUCUGAAUACCACUGCUAGGAAUAAUGGAAUAACCCUAACCCUAACCCUAUCCGGUGGCAUUAUUCCCAUGACCUGCCAGGCAGUGUCCGGGAAACCAAAGUCUUUGGGUUCUGGGGGGAGUAUGGUUGCAAAGCUUCCAUCCUUGAUGGAAGGGCACCACCAGGAGUGGAGCCUGCGGCUUAAUUUGACUCAACACGGGAAACCUCACCCGGCCUGGACACGGAAAGGAUUGACAGAUUGAUAGCUCUUUCUCGAUUCUGCGGAUGGUGGUGCAUGGUUGUUCUUAGUUGGUGGAGUGAUUUGUCUGGUUAAUUCUGAUAACGAAUGAGACUCCGGCAUGCUAACUAGUUAUGCGGCCCCGUGCGGUUGGCGUCAAACUUCUUAGAUGGACAAGUGGCAUUCAGCCACAUGAGAUUGAGCAAUAACAGGUCUGUGAUGCCCUUAGAUGUCUGGGACUGCAUGUGCACCACACCUGAGUUGAUCAGUGUGUGUCUACCCUUUGCUGAGAGGCGUGGGUAACCUGCUGAACCCCACUUGUGAUAGGGACUAGGGAUUGCAAUUAUUUCCCAUGAACGAGGAAUUCCUAGUAUGCGCGGGUCAUAAACUUGCGUCGAUUAAGUCCCUGCCCUUUGUACGCACCACCCGUCACUACUACCAAUUUGAUGGUUUAGUGAGGUCCUUGGAUUGGCCCCUCCGGGGUCAGUCACAGCUCUGGUCGAGCGCAGAGAAGACGAUUGUCCUCUCCCCACUGGGGGGUUGACUACCAGGGCCCGGGUCUUCCGACGCUCCAGGGUGCUGU